rnacentral:lncRNA from 1 species
UGAUAGACUUGUAUUGCUCCUGUACAAGAGAGAAAACAAAUGGCAGCACAUUAGAUCAUGAACUGAUUCUAAACAGAAUCUUUGAAGGGAAAAGAAAGGUGGGAGAUCAAUGGAAGUUGAUAAUAGACUUGUAUUCCUCCUGUACAAGAGAGAAGAAAAAUUGCAGCACGUUAGAUCAUGAACUGAUUCUAAACAGAAGCUUUGAAGGGAAAAGAAAGGUGGGAGAUCAAUGGAAGUUGGCCAUGCAUAAGGGUCCCAAUGUGUAGCCAUUUAGGAGCCUCCUCACCAUGUUCAGUCAGGAAGAGGAAGAGGGAAUUUGACUACAUUGUCACAUAUUGGAAGUCCAAAAUAAAAUAAAAUAUAAAUAAAUAAAUAAAAGAACGGAUCCACAUGGCAGCAGGAGAUUUGCCAGAUCACCUCAAUUGAUGAGGUGAAAUUCAGAGGCACAAAACAUUAUAAAGUUUAGAUCUCGAGUUAUCAGUUAUUAGAAAUAUAUAGAUUAAGAAGAAAUUUUUUUAUUUUGAAUAAAGGUCAAGACAGUCCUACAAGCACUAGGGACUGUUACAAAUAGCCGUCCUUCCAAUAUGGAGUUCCAUGACCCCCAAGAAUUUAUAGUUUGUGAUUUUAAAAACUUUUGGUUAUCUUUUAUUACAAAAAGAUCUAAAAGCUUAGAAUUAUGGGUUAGGAAUAUCCGUACAAGAGGACUCUAAUACCCAAAACAAAAAAAAAAAACCCUAAAGAAAGGGAAAGAAAAUCUGAAAUGUAUUUUAGGUCAUAUCAAACAGCAAGACAAAAUUGAUUAUCGUACUUGGAAGUAAAAAAAAAACUUUGACAUUCUUAAGAUUUGAAAAAUGUAUGACAUUAAAUACUCAAAAUAAGUUUGUCCUGAGUCCAAUAAGAUGUGCAAUCAGAAAUAUAAUAUAAAAUGCACAUUAUAUGUACACUAUGUUAUAAUACAUAUGCGGAAGUCUUUUUUCUUUCUUUCUUUUUUUUUUUUGCUAAAGGACUGAUCUCUCUUUUUAAUCUGAUGGUCUGUGAUGAAGCAUUUGUCUUAUUUGAUAGAAUAACUACAUUUACUCUAUACACAAAUUAAGAAAUUCUUGCCAUUCUGAAAACAGCCUCUACAACAGUAACCAACAAAC